UACGGGGGGAGCAAGCGUUGUUCGGAUUUACUGGGCGUAAAGGGCGGGUAGGCGGCCACCGCAAGUCGACUGUGAAAUCUCCGGGCUUAACCCGGAAAGGUCAGCCGAUACUGCGGGGCUAGAGUGCAGAAGGGGCAACUGGAAUUCUCGGUGUAGCGGUGAAAUGCGUAGAUAUCAGGAGGAACACCAGCGGCGAAGGCGGCGCUCUGGGCCGGUACUGACACUGAGGAGCGAAAGCGUGGGGAGCAAACAGG
rnacentral:rRNA from 1 species